rnacentral:rRNA from 1 species
UUGCAAAUUGCAGAAUUCCGUGAGUCAUUUUUCUUGAAUGUAGGCAUGUUCUUGGGCCACCCCUAAGGACAUCAUUUACUCAGUGCUUCUUAGUUAAUGUUGUGCUCCACAUCAUGCAUUAUGUGUGUAACUGUGGUGUAUUCUUCUUUUUGCAUU